GUUUGAUCCUGGCUCAGGAUGAACGCUAGCUACAGGCUUAACACAUGCAAGUCGAGGGGCAGCAUGGUCUUAGCUUGCUAAGGCCGAUGGCGACCGGCGCACGGGUGAGUAACACGUAUCCAACCUGCCGUCUACUCUUGGACAGCCUUCUGAAAGGAAGAUUAAUACAAGAUGGCAUCAUGAGUCCGCAUGUUCACAUGAUUAAAGGUGUUCCGGUAGACGAUGGGGAUGCGUUCCAUUAGAUAGUAGGCGGGGUAACGGCCCACCUAGUCUUCGAUGGAUAGGGGUUCUGAGAGGAAGGUCCCCCACAUUGGAACUGAGACACGGUCCAAACUCCUACGGGAGGCAGCAGUGAGGAAUAUUGGUCAAUGGGCGAGAGCCUGAACCAGCCAAGUAGCGUGAAGGAUGACUGCCCUAUGGGUUGUAAACUUCUUUUAUAAAGGAAUAAAGUCGGGUAUGCAUACCCGUUUGCAUGUACUUUAUGAAUAAGGAUCGGCUAACUCCGUGCCAGCAGCCGCGGUAAUACGGAGGAUCCGAGCGUUAUCCGGAUUAUUGGGUUUAAGGGAGCGUAGAUGGAUGUUUAAGUCAGUUGUGAAAGUUUGCGGCUCAACCGUAAAAUUGCAGUUGAUACUGGAUAUCUUGAGUGCAGUUGAGGCAGGCGGAAUUCGUGGUGUAGCGGUGAAAUGCUUAGAUAUCACGAAGAACUCCGAUUGCGAAGGCAGCCUGCUAAGCUGCAACUGACAUUGAGGCUCGAAAGUGUGGGUAUCAAACAGGAUUAGAUACCCUGGUAGUCCACACGGUAAACGAUGAAUACUCGCUGUUUGCGAUAUACGGCAAGCGGCCAAGCGAAAGCGUUAAGUAUUCCACCUGGGGAGUACGCCGGCAACGGUGAAACUCAAAGGAAUUGACGGGGGCCCGCACAAGCGGAGGAACAUGUGGUUUAAUUCGAUGAUACGCGAGGAACCUUACCCGGGCUUAAAUUGCAGAUGAAUUACGGUGAAAGCCGUAAGCCGCAAGGCAUCUGUGAAGGUGCUGCAUGGUUGUCGUCAGCUCGUGCCGUGAGGUGUCGGCUUAAGUGCCAUAACGAGCGCAACCCUUGUUGUCAGUUACUAACAGGUCAUGCUGAGGACUCUGACAAGACUGCCAUCGUAAGAUGUGAGGAAGGUGGGGAUGACGUCAAAUCAGCACGGCCCUUACGUCCGGGGCUACACACGUGUUACAAUGGGGGGUACAGAGGGCCGCUACCACGCGAGUGGAUGCCAAUCCCAAAAACCUCUCUCAGUUCGGACUGGAGUCUGCAACCCGACUCCACGAAGCUGGAUUCGCUAGUAAUCGCGCAUCAGCCACGGCGCGGUGAAUACGUUCCCGGGCCUUGUACACACCGCCCGUCAAGCCAUGGGAGCCGGGGGUACCUGAAGUGCGUAACCGCGAGGAGCGCCCUAGGGUAAAGCUGGUGACUGGGGCUAAGUCGUAACAAGGUAGCCGUA
rnacentral:rRNA from 1 species